GGGAUUCGCUCCUGGUCCUGUAUGAACGUUAGAGAUGUUUAUAACUCAUGACGAGUAGCACGAAUAGAAAUUUUAAAAUUUUUAAAAGUAUAUUAGUUGCGUCCGGGUGCGUACAAUAUUGGAAUCUCCUUUCUUAGUUCAGUAUACUAUUGUAGACAAUCAAUAUAAAUUCUGAUUAGAAGAUUAAUUCGCUGGAAAGUGAGCCGAUAAAAGAUUAGGUAGUUGGUAGAGUAAAAGUUUACCAAGCCUGCGAUCUUUAGCUGAGGUGAGAGCUUCGACAGCCACAUUGGAACUGAAAACGGUCCAAACUCGUACGCGGGGCAGCAGAGUAGAAUUUUGGUCAAUGCACGAAAGUGUAAACUGGAGACAUCGCAUCAGUGACGACAGGCUACUGUAAAACUGUUUUUGUAUGUAUAAUAAUGAUGUAAAAUAAAAAAAAAGCACCGGUUAAAUUAGUGCCAGCAGCCGCGGGAAUACUAAUGGUGUAAACGUUAUACUCGGUUAUUGGGCGUAAAGGGUCUGUAGGUUCUUAAUUGAAUUAUAUAUUAAAUACUAGAAAAACAUUUUUUUAGUGCGUAUAUAUUAUUUUAUAAGUUAGAAUAGAAAAGAAAAGUAUCGAAUUAUAAAUGUAACGGUAGAAUGUGUCGAUAUUUAUAAGAAGACCAUAGGCGAAAGCAGUACUUUAAUUUCUAAUUGACAUUGAGGGACGAAAGUUAGAGUAUCGAACAGGGGUAGUUAUCCUGGUAGUUCUAACAGUAAACGAUGAAAAUUUUAUCUUAGAAUAUUAAGGUUACACAAUUUUAAUUUGAUUUUUAGGAUAUAAGCUAACGCAUUAAAUUUUCCGCCUGGAGAUUAUGCCUGCAAAGGGUAAAUUUUAAGGAGUUGACGGUUUGCGAUCUGAACGGGUGAAGCUUGUUGUUUAAUCUGAUUCUCCACGUAAAACCUUACCAGCCAGUUUAUUGUUGCUAAUUCUUUGUUGGCAUUGUAGUUUUUUUUAUAAAACAGUAAUAGGUGCUGCAUGGCUGUCGUCAGUUCGUAGCGUAAGUUGUAGAAUUUGGUUUCUCUUAACGAACGUAACUCUUAAGCUUAUUAUUGUAGUCAAUUUUUGCAUUAUAUACUAAUAAGAAUUUUUUAGUAAGACACUUUAUUAACAUAUUUAAUUCAAAUUAAAUAUCGCGUUCCUUUAGCUAAGUUAAGUUGGUGUUGUUCGUAUAAUUAUUAGGAACUCCUUUUAAUUAGCGUAACAUUAGAGUCUGGUUAAUAUUUUUUAUUUAAAUCAAAAACUUGUUGAACCACCACUAUUUGACAAGGAUUAGCCAAAAAUUAGUAAUAAUUUUAACAAGGGCUUUAAAACUACUAAAUAACAUCUAUUGUGAAAUAGAGGAAGAAAAGAAUGACGGCAAGUCUGUAUGGCUAGUGGCAGGGCUACCGACGUGCUGCAAAGAAAUUUACAAAAAGAGAAAUAAUAGCAAUAUUUAUUUAAACUCAAAUUUUUUCAUAGUUUAGAUUAAUUCCUGCAACUUGGAAUUAUGAUAAAAGGAAUCGUUAGUAAUCGUAAAUCAGCAUAUUACGGUGAAAAAAAGCUUUUGCGAACGUACACACUGCCCAUCACAUUCUGAGAGUUGGAUUGGCUUGAAGUUUUGUAGACCUAUUAUUUUAGUCUAAAUUUUAAAAUAAUAAUAAAAUACAUACGAAAGUAGAUUUGGCAAUUGGGAUGAAGUUGUAACAAGGUUGUCGUAGUGGAAACUGCGGCAG
rnacentral:rRNA from 1 species